rnacentral:lncRNA from 1 species
GCGUUUUUGAGUGAGUGUGGACGACGCUGGAUCUUCUCACCGGCUGCCAUGAUCGAACAAACAGCAGAAAUUAAGUUUGAAACUGUCGCUGGCGUCACCGUGGCCCGGGACACACUAAGCCGACAGCAGGUGGAGCAACGUCGGCCACUCGGUCAGGCAGAGUCUGUAUAUGUGGACACUUACUAUUUGCCCUCUCUACAGUUUCUCUUGUCUGUCCCCCACAAGCAGAGACCCACUGAUAGACCGCUGUUACCAGUUCUAGGGCUGACACAUCCGCACACGUCCACAUCACAAGUGUAUCCUGAAAAGAUCAAGGAGGAGCAUCACAACAGUUUCGUUGAAGUAGACAUUCUUGUGGAAGCUUGAUGAGUACACACCAGGUUUUGCAGCUAAUGCAUGCCAAAGGAGGAGCAGCUAGUUGCAAGAUGCAUCCUCUGCUGGACAGUUUAAAUACACAGAACAUUGAGGAAAAAAAGAGAUGCUGUUGUCUGCUGCCUCAAUAACUACCUCGGGGAAAGACAAGAAGAUAUGUUCCAUGACUGGCAGGAAUGUGAGGAGUACACAGACAAAACGAUGAAGGAGAUUGUGAAGCACAAUUUGUCUAUUGUGAUCGGGGGAAAACAAGUGAUGGAAGGAUGAGGAAGCCAAACAGAGGCAUGCAUACUGCUGGGACUCAUAUGCAAUUAACAUUGAAUAUCCAAAGGAGCUGAAGAACACGUUUGAAGCUUUUCAAAAACUUUGUUUUAGAAAAUGAUGGGGCAAAACCACUGAAGAAGGUCCACAGCCUCAAAAAUAAGCUCAUGCAGUAGACAUUUCUCCUCUUACUUAAAGAGGAUCUUUUGUUUGGACAUGCCUUGAUGGAGUUGUAAUGGAGUGUUUUAUAUAUUUUUUUCUCUUCCAUCAUUUGCUUCACACACAGACAAAGACCCAUCCACUGUCUCAGCCCUCUCCAUUGCUCUGUGUUUUCCCCCAUAUUGACAGAAAAGGAAUACUAAUAGAAAGUGGCCUAAAGAAUUUUGAUCUCACCUACCGUCUUUUCUUCCCCAGUUGUUUGUUUAUUUUAUUCUCAUCCUAUCUGCGAGAGUGAGAGUAAGGACAAAAAAUAAAGAAUUUUGUUUUACUUUUUUCCGGAUAUUUGAUACUGUACAUGCACAAAA